AUUCGUUACCGGUUAUUGGGUAAGAACAACCUGCUGGGGAAAUAUCAAAUAGGAUUUACAACUACCGUUUACUGGGCAGAAGACCAAAUAGAGAAUAUUCGUCACCGGUUAAAGUGAACAUAUCAAGGAUAGACUUAGAGGAAGAAUAUCCGUCAUCGGUUAAGAUGAACAUAUCAAGGAUAGACUUCCGGAGAAAAAGUAGGACUUAUAUAUAUCAGUCACUGGAUAGAAUACCAAAGAGAGAAUAUAUGUCCCCAGUUACGAUGAACAUGAAC
rnacentral:lncRNA from 1 species